rnacentral:lncRNA from 1 species
AACCUUGGUUUCUUUUUGUUUGUUUUGAUAUCUAGUGGCUCCAGAAAGCAGCAGAAUGAGAAUUGCCUGUGUCCCUGUGAAUGUCCAGAGCAAAGAGGUGGGUCUUAAGAAGCUGCUUUAGACAGAAAAACAGACAGUACUGGAAUGAAAGUCCCCAAGUUAAGCACAGGGAAGAGAAUGAAAAAAAGAAUCAAAGGAAUGACCCUUUGCAUCUGUUUAGCUGGCCAUGA